CAUGCAAGUCGAACGAUGAAGGAAGAGCUUGCUCCUCCGGAUUAGUGGCGAACGGGUGAGUAAUACGUGAGCAAUGUGCCCUUGACUCUGGGAUAAGCGCUGGAAACGGCGUCUAAUACCGGAUACGACCCUCGGAGGCAUCUCCUGUGGGUGGAAAGAACUUCGGUCAAGGAUCAGCUCACGGCCUAUCAGCUUGUUGGUGAGGUAAUGGCUCACCAAGGCGACGACGGGUAGCCGGCCUGAGAGGGUGACCGGCCACACUGGGACUGAGACACGGCCCAGACUCCUACGGGAGGCAGCAGUGGGGAAUAUUGCACAAUGGGCGCAAGCCUGAUGCAGCAACGCCGCGUGAGGGACGAAGGCCUUCGGGUUGUAAACCUCUUUUAGCAGGGAAGAAGCGAAAGUGACGGUACCUGCAGAAAAAGCACCGGCUAACUACGUGCCAGCAGCCGCGGUAAUACGUAGGGUGCAAGCGUUGUCCGGAAUUAUUGGGCGUAAAGAGCUCGUAGGCGGUUUGUCGCGUCUGCUGUGAAAACCCGAGGCUCAACCUCGGGCUUGCAGUGGGUACGGGCAGACUAGAGUGCGGUAGGGGAGAUUGGAAUUCCUGGUGUAGCGGUGGAAUGCGCAGAUAUCAGGAGGAACACCGAUGGCGAAGGCAGAUCUCUGGGCCGUAACUGACGCUGAGGAGCGAAAGCAUGGGGAGCAAACAGGCUUAGAUACCCUGGUAGUCCAUGCCGUAAACGUUGGGAACUAGAUGUGGGGACCAUUCCACGGUCUCCGUGUCGUAGCUAACGCAUUAAGUUCCCCGCCUGGGGAGUACGGCCGCAAGGCUAAAACUCAAAGGAAUUGACGGGGGCCCGCACAAGCGGCGGAGCAUGCGGAUUAAUUCGAUGCAACGCGAAGAACCUUACCAAGGCUUGACAUAUACCGGAAACGUCCAGAGAUGGUCGCCCCGCAAGGUCGGUAUACAGGUGGUGCAUGGUUGUCGUCAGCUCGUGUCGUGAGAUGUUGGGUUAAGUCCCGCAACGAGCGCAACCCUCGUCCUAUGUUGCCAGCACGUAAUGGUGGGAACUCAUGGGAUACUGCCGGGGUCAACUCGGAGGAAGGUGGGGAUGAGGUCAAAUCAUCAUGCCCCUUAUGUCUUGGGCUUCACGCAUGCUACAAUGGCCGGUACAAUGGGCUGCGAUACCGUAAGGUGGAGCGAAUCCCAAAAAGCCGGUCUCAGUUCGGAUUGAGGUCUGCAACUCGACCUCAUGAAGUCG
rnacentral:rRNA from 1 species